GAAUGCAAGGGUGACCUGGCUGUGACCCUACCACCCCAUUGAUUGCCUGGGCCCAUUAGACUGAUGUGGUGGCCCGGUGUCUUCUUUCUCCCUCACCUCUGUGUACAUCAGGCUUUGCGUUGCGGACAACAGGAAUGACCUUCCCUGAUAAAGGCGGAUUGGUCCUCUGCAAGG
rnacentral:snRNA from 1 species